CCUUUGGUCAUUUAUUUUUGUUGCUCAGUUUUAAGCUAUCUUGUUUCAUUUUACAAACUUGAUUCAAUGUCAGACGAAAAAGAGGCAGUCCUAUGUCUUUCGACAGCUUCAUACAUAUAAAAAAAACUCUUACUUUCAUUUUGAUGAACACUGUAUAGGAGAAGGUGAAGAAAGAAGAGUUCAGCUGAACAAUGAGAGGAAGAUGAAGAGAAAAUCAAGUUCCAAGAACACUUCUGAAGCAGGUCCCUCGGUGGCAUUCUGUUCACCCCGAGCUCAGUAUCCAGAUAAAUACCAAAACAGAGUGGCAGUAAUUCAACUCUUACAGGAGGAAGGAACUACGGAAGAGUCUACUUUAUCCAAGAGGACGUCUGCUUCCCAAUCCUCAUCAAUUUCAUGAGGAAUCUCACUGAUAGGCAGUGGAAGGUGAUUCAGGAGGGCAUGAGAAAUCCUGUAAGUUUAUCUGUCAACAUUUGAUGUGUGAUUAUUUGAUAGAAAGUUGGACAUGAAGUUUAUCAUAUUGACUAACUAAGCACUUGACACCACAGCCCCUCAAGAAUAAAUAUCAUGCUCUUUUUUUGUAUUGAAACCAAAAUAUUGAGGGAAUAGAGCGAAAACAGUUUUCCAUAUAGCGGAAGAAAUCCUCACCCUGACCCUUGCACAUAUAUUAGAGCUAGAUGCCGUUAAAGAAGCUAGCGCCUCUCCCUCGCUGACUGGAUCAGAGUGCGUGCAUCCAGGAACAUGUGGUGAAAUUUAAUGAUGGUCUACCUAAGAGGCCUGGCAGUGGAAAGGCCAUGUGUAGUCAACGGGUCAAGAAAUGAUCCCCGAACACAGUUACCACAACAGAGAAUUGAGGACGAGUGGCAGUGGCAGAUAAUUUUACAGCUCCCACACACCCACUCCACGUUCUUCCACAAGGUAUGUUCACCAACCACACUUCAACUGUGUGCCUGACCUGACUGAUCUUAGCACCGUAUACAUACUGAACUCAGGCUAACUUUUUCACACAUUACACAGCAUAUGACAGUUCUAAGAAUGAAAAGCUAAAGAACGACUGUUUUUAUGGUAGUAAGAAGGCAGACACCACAUCUUUAGAGAACUAAAUAUUACAAUUAUUGUGAUUUAGGUGAAUUUAAAGUAUUUAUUUGUAGAGAUCAAUAUGUAAAAUUAUUCAAGAUUGAUCGAUUCUUGUGUUUGUUUUGAAGUUCCCAGACAUCGUUGCAGAGGGCACAUAGAGGAGACGCUCGACUGACAGAUCCUCUUAAUGCCCUCUUUGGGAUCAAAGAUCUGUGGCCAGAGAUGUCGUGAGUCAGGUGAACUCUGACAUCUCACUGAUCAUCUCCUGUUCCAGCUCAGGUAAAACAAGACCGGUGUUGUGUGACACUGGCAGGCGAUAUACCAUGCAGGCCGCCCAGAAGCUGGUGUCUGCUAUCUGUGCCAAGCUGUGGAGGUUUGGAGUCACUGGACAGGCUGCGCCUCAAGCCAAAACCGAUCCAUCUAAGGAGAAUGUGGACAUUGAGGCUUCCUUUGCACUGUCGACAGGAGAGGUCAUGGCUGUUAUGGUCAACUCCAGAGAAUGCCAGGAAGGAGAGUAAGGAACAAUGGAUGCGCUUUGAGAAAUCGCACAAAGUCCAUAUUUUUUUCCCGCUUCAAGGGAUAUUGUUGGUGGUCUUCUGUAAGACUCCCUAGCAGAGAAAAAAUAUCUGAAAGAGACUGUAUCCCCUGGCAGCUUGGUGAGUCAAAACAUCCUCGUACUUUCACCUUCUGAGAAAAUGUUUGGAUCUCCUGUAAUGACAACCAUUGAUAAUUUAUCCAGUGAUGAAUUGAAGUCAGAAGCUACUAAAGUUUAGUGAAGUCUAUCUGCACAAACGCACAAAUUAAUGUAGGUUCUGAAGCCUCUGAAAUUAUGGAUUCCUUUCUGAGGAGCAGGCCCAGAGUGGUUCCAGUUCUCCUCAGGCUGUGAAACAAGGCAAACUACUGUAAAUCGCUCUGGAUAAUUGAUAAAAUAUUUUAUAUGUUGAAAGAUAAUGAUGAAAUAAUUCCACUCUGAAACCAUAUAAUUGUAUGAAAUUGAUUAGAAUCAUAAAACUAUAAUCUGAUGAUGUGUGUCGUUUUAGUCAGAAUUAGAACAAGGACCUUUUGUUCCUUUUUAGUAUGUAAGCAGGGUGCAAGUAGGAAACAAAUGAUAAGAGGAGCUAUCGACAGACAAGCUGGACUACUGUGUUCCUUACAGGACAUUCUGUCUCCACCCGUGGAGGGGAGAAACUGUUAGGCUUGCAUAAAAUGAUGAAACAUUGUUUCAGAUUAAACAAUGUAUCUAUGUAGUGGAAAAACAGACUGUCUAAGCAAGGCGUAGCUUAAGAUUUGAACUUGUUUGUGUGUGUUAUAAAGACUGGGUUUGCAUUUUUGAUGUUAGAACGUUCU